rnacentral:lncRNA from 1 species
CGGAUACAAUUUCGCAUUUAUCUAAUUGCUUUUAGAUGAUUUUGUUAAAUAGUAGACAAAAUACUAUAGUUUAAGUUUCACUACCUCGAAUUUAUAAAAAUUAUGCACAUAUCAUACCUUUGAUCAUUGAUAAUAAUCCAGUCUCGAGAUGAAUGGCAUGUUGGAGACGCAAUUGAAAUAAAUACAUGUGGUCAUUCUCUAUGAUCUUAAGCUUUAAAAUAAGUUGGUUGACAAUACCUCAGUUUCGUAAACACGUAUGUGUUGAAGGAGACCCAGUCUGCGGGGAGAGAAUAAUUCCACGGCUAUUAGUUUUCGUAGUUCACGCCAAUAGGUGCCAUAAGGGGAGAAUCCAAACAUGGCGAAGUCAUAGCCUAUGUGCUUGGCUGCAAGAAAUUUUGGACGUGAAGAUAUAAUCACAUCCCAGGUGGUGAACAAUUCUUUAGCCAAUUCCCAGUUGUUCACCACUAGAGCUUUGUGUACUCCGAGCCGGAUUGUAAAGACUGGUCCAUACUUGUCCGCCAUUGCCGCCAGGGUGAUGUGUGGAAGACGUGAACCGCCGCCUAUGAGGUGGAGGUGGCCUAUAAUUGGCCAUGCGCCACCAGCUUCCGGCGGUGAACUGUUUUUGCUAGCUUUAGACCUAGAUUUCCAAUAAAAAAUCAAAAGUAGCGCAAAUAUUGCAGCUAUGGAAGAAUUGAGAUGUGAGACCGAGAAUUCCAUGGUUGUCUUGACCAAAGAUGGGUUUCCUAGUUAAUUUGUUACUGUGACCUGGGGGCUCAUAUAUAAGCAAGCAAGCAUGCUCGGCUAAGCAUAAAAAGUUUGCUUAUAAAUAAGUAAGUUAUGAAUAAACUAUUUUUUAAUAAUAAAAGUUGAAAAAUAGUAAAUUACUUAUUUUGAGAGUGGUAAUUGUUACUUUUAAAAUAAUAAAUUUUUAUUACUUAAAAGGAAAUACUAAAUUAUCCAUACACGUUUGAAAAAAAUACAUUUUUAUAUACUUAAAACAGUCUUAAAAAUAUUACGGUGCAUUUGAUUUGCGUUUCUGUUUUUUGUUUUAAUGGAUAAUUUUAAGAUUGCAUAAAACGAGUUGGUUUGUUAUUCUAAAAAACUACUUACAAAAAAUAUAUGUACAUAUUAAAAAAAAAAAGAAACAAAAGAAAAAGAUAGAGGAAUCAUUGUAAGAUUGAGUUUUGCCUCUUAAUUCUUUCUUGUAUAAUUGUUAAAUGGUGUGCGAUCACUUCUUCAUCAACUUUUAUCAAAAUCUAUUAAAAAAUUAAUUUUCAACAAAAUCAAAUGUGUUUAAUAUGUUUAGAUAAAAAAGUUAUUUAAAAGUAACGUUUACCUAAAUUUUAGCUAGACAGGUAAAUAUUUAACUAAUUUUUAAUAUUUUGUCUCAUAAUUCUUUCUUCUACAAUUGUUAAAUGGUGUAACAUCACUUCCUUCGUGGUUUAGACACUUUAUGCUUACAGAAUCACUUUAUCACAUAUAUGUUCUAUUGACAUAUUUGAUUUAUUGGAUCUGAAAAUAAUAAAAAGAUCAAAGAAUAAAAAAAAAAAGUAAUAUCUGCCAUGCCAUGAUAUCCAGUAUAGUGAAUACCAAACGUGUUGCAUAGUUCUUCAUGCUUUUCAAUUUUUUGAUAUCAAGAAUUUUGGGAUCAUUUUUCACAUAGUUGACAUACAAUGUCAAGAAAUAAAAACACAUCAAAUAGGGAAAGGUAUGAUCAUUGAUUAAAAAAACUUACUAGGCAUGUAGAUUUGAUGAUUGUGCCAGGAUCAUAAUCUUGAAGGUUUGUGCCCUCAAUAGCUGAAAGGAUCACGUCCAUAAAAUCCUGCUUACUACCAGAAUUUGCCUUUUGCUUGUGCUCUUCCAACCAUUUCUCAACAAUUUUAUCCAUUUCUUUUCCAGUUUCUUUCAUUUUUUUCUCAUAUCCACCUAUAUCCAACCAUCUAAGGUAAGGGAUAUUAUCAGCCACAAUAAAAAUUCCAGUUAAAUGAAAGAAAUCCCUCAACACUUUCUGGCACUGCCUUGCCUCUAUUUUAUCCCCAUCAACAGUUGCACCAAAAUAUCUCUUCCCUGCAACCAUUCUGAGAAUAACAUUCAAAUUCAAGUCCCCGAACCACUGCUUCAUUUCCACCAAAACCCGACCCGACCCAUCUUUCUUCUCGUUCCAGUACUUGUAAAGCUCUUGUAUGGAUACCUAUUAAAGACAGGAUUUAAACGGAUACAAUUUCGCAUUUAUCUAAUUGCUUUUAGAUGAUUUUGUUAAAUAGUAGACAAAAUACUAUAGUUUAAGUUUCACUACCUCGAAUUUAUAAAAAUUAUGCACAUAUCAUACCUUUGAUCAUUGAUAAUAAUCCAGUCUCGAGAUGAAUGGCAUGUUGGAGACGCAAUUGAAAUAAAUACAUGUGGUCAUUCUCUAUGAUCUUAAGCUUUAAAAUAAGUUGGUUGACAAUACCUCGGUUUCGGAAACACGUAUGUGUUGAAGGAGCUCCAGUCUUCGGGGAGAGAAUAAUUCCACGGCUAUUAGUUUUCGUAGUUCACGCCAAUAGGUGCCAUAAGGGGAGAAUCCAAACAUGGCGAAGUCAUAGCCUAUGUGCUUGGCUGCAAGAAAUUUUGGACGUGAAGAUAUAAUCACAUCCCAGGUGGUGAACAAUUCUUUAGCCAAUUCCCAGUUGUUCACCACUAGAGUUUCGUGUACUCCGAG